GACGUAGCCAAGAAGAUGAAGCGAGUAAUCCUUUCCUCCACUCUGUUCUUGCUUGUGCUCGGGAUUUCUGGACGGGUUACAUCCUCAGCCAGUCAACCCAAUUCUGACACGAAUCGAGGGGAAAUCCAUUUCAGGGGCAACUGCACGCCAACGGAUAAAUGCAAAUACACCAACACGUCCUGCAUCGAUGGAAUUUGUCAAUGCAGACCAGGCCACUUUUUAGCUGCCGUCCAUAGCCAUAUCAGUUGUCAUGGUUCGUGUUCAUGGUACAAUUUUGUAUUCACGUCAUACAUAUUUUGAAAGCGAGUUGAAUGAUUUCCAAAAACUGUCUAAAUCCACAACAUUGUCACGGUCGAGAACCAUCCUUGGGUGAUCAAGAACGAGACAUGUCUUCAAGUCUCAGAUUCCAAUAUUUCGUGUCGGUGCCCCUGUUACACGGGAUUUCUUAUCGACGUAAUUCGCAUUAUCGACAAUGCAAUUAAGAAUUUGGAAAAUUGCACAAUCACCGAAAAGGAUUCCAUCGGGACCCUGGACACGAGUACUGAUCCACCCUCGUGGAACAAUGGAUUGAUGCAAGUCGUAGCGAAAAAUCAAACAGAUCUCGUCCUGGCGCCUUUCAGUCUUACCAAACAAACCACCGAACUCAGAAACACGAUGGAUUUCUCCACUUUCAUAAUAAGUAAUCCGUACCAACAAUUGCAUUUUUCCAUUGGAUUCCCCCUCUCGUCUCGGGCCGAGUUCCAAUACCUGAAAUGGAUCACGGUACUUAUCGGGCAGGGGCAUAAUGAGCAGCUCUUGAACAAAUGGUUCAUACAAGGGAAAUCGUUGUGGUCCAAGGACAAACAGAAGACUCCCUACACACCCACCAGAAAGUGUCAUCUUCUAUAAGACGUGGUAUAAAAUUUACACCGGAAAUGAUCACGGACUGUGCAUAUGUAUCGCUAAAAUAAUUUUGUUAAAUGUUUAAAGCAAAAAUUUUUAAGCAACUAAUAAAUUCAUAGGCUUUGUAAAUAUAAUUGGUAUAGAAAUAAUGUAAACCAUUGCCUAAUAAAAGUUAUCAAUUUCAUUAUCCAAGCACACAAA